rnacentral:lncRNA from 1 species
ACGUAUUCUUCAUACAGAGGGCACUACGCAGAAAGAGCAGAGUGGUGUGCUGAAGCAACAAGGAACAUAACUAAAACAGGAAUUCAAACCACCUUUAUGUUUGUUUGGUUUGGUUUCUGUUUGUUUGUUUAAGUCUUGGAAAAGAAGGAACCAAAGCUCCAAAGCUGAUGUUCUCCAUACAGGCUCUGUAGCUUUGAACAAAGGAAACUUCUGCAAAACUUAAUGCCACUAGUUAACAAGUACUGAGUGCCCUUCGCUCCCACAAAGUUCAAGCUACUUGUUUCAAGACAGUACUCCUACUUACGAAAACUAGCUGUUGAACACCAGCCUGUGAUAUUGGGCCUGUGCUAGUGAAUUUGUGAGAUGUGGACUUAAACAGAUGAGACCGUAGAUCUACAGAC